GACGAACGCUGGCGGCGUGCUUAACACAUGCAAGUCGAACGAAGAGCGAUGGAAGCUUGCUUCUAUCAAUCUUAGUGGCGAACGGGUGAGUAACGCGUAAUCAACCUGCCCUUCAGAGGGGGACAACAGUUGGAAACGACUGCUAAUACCGCAUACGAUCUAAUCUCGGCAUCGAGGAAAGAUGAAAGGUGGCCUCUAUUUAUAAGCUAUCACUGAAGGAGGGGAUUGGGUCUGAUUAGCUAGUUGGAGGGGUAACGGCCCACCAAGGCGAUGAUCAGUAGCCGGUCUGAGAGGAUGAACGGCCACAUUGGGACUGAGACACGGCCCAGACUCCUACGGGAGGCAGCAGUGGGGAAUCUUCCGCAAUGGACGAAAGUCUGACGGAGCAACGCCGCGUGAGUGAUGACGGCCUUCGGGUUGUAAAGCUCUGUUAAUCGGGACGAAAGGCCUUCUUGCGAACAGUUAGAAGGAUUGACGGUACCGGAAUAGAAAGCCACGGCUAACUACGUG
rnacentral:rRNA from 1 species